rnacentral:rRNA from 1 species
AGGGAUACUGUCCGGCUAGGGGAUGAGAGAGGUCGACGGUAUUCCCGGGGUAGGGGUGAAAUCCUAUAAUCCCGGGAGGACCACCAGUGGCGAAGGCUGUCGGCUAGAACAUGCCCGACGGUGAGGGAUGAAAGCUGGGGGAGCGAACCGGAUUAGAUACCCGGGCAGUCCCAGCUGUAAACGAUGCGGGCUAGGUGUUGGGGUGGCUACGAGCCACUUCAGUGCCGCAGGGAAGCCGUUAAGCCCGCCGCCUGGGGAGUACGGCCGCAAGGCUGAAACUUAAAGGAAUUGGCGGGGGAGCACCACAAGGCGUGAAGCUUGCGGUUCAAUUGGAGUCAACGCCGGGAACCUUACCGGGAGCGACAGCAGGAUGAAAGCCAAAUUGAAGGUCUUGCUAGACAAGCUGAGAGGAGGUGCAUGGCCGUCGCCAGUUCGUGCCGUGAGGUGUCCUGUUAAGUCAGGCAACGAUCGAGACCCGCGCCCCUAGUUGCUACCGAGGAAGUUUUCCAAAGAGCACUCUAGGGGGACUGCCGUCGAUAAGGCGGAGGAAGGAGCGGGCCACGGCAGGUCAGUAUGCCCCGAAUCUCCCGGGCCACACGCGAGCUGCAAUGGCAGGGACAAUGGGUUCCAACCUUGAAAAGGGGAGG